rnacentral:lncRNA from 1 species
AAAUGUAGGAUAGGUCGGAGAUCAGAUAGCAUGGAAUCAUCUAUCCUCGAACAUGUGACCUCUGCGAAGAUCCAUAAAGAUCCUCCGAAACGGAAUAUGCCCCAGUAUGGCAUCUGACGUGCGACAAAUCAGGAAAUAUAGGUGACAUCAAAUCAUCUCUCAUCAAACAUGUGGUCCUGGUAAUCCAAACACGGUUGAAACGAAUCUAAACAUCUGAGAAGUGUCUCCCAGAAGAAGAUGCAUGGCAAAUAUCUGGAUGUCAACCGAAUCUCAAACACCUGUCCACAUAGAAGCCGUAGAAGACGAUAUCUGAUCCCAUGGCCUCAGGGUGGUCUUAAGACACGGGACGUAAUGUAGGCUAGGGUGAUAGGGUGAUAGAAACGAAGGGAAACUAAGCUCAAAUACCCGAUGAUCAAAACCCAUGCCCUCAUGUAUGAAAUGCA